GUACAACUACCUUGCUGAUGCUGUACAUAUGGCUCACUUGUGCCCAGAGAGAGAAUAAAGCCAUGUCGAAACUAUCUACGAUUCCUUGAGUGUUUUUCCAGCUACCUGCCACUUGCCCACCCACUCCCCUCAGAUCUCAGUUAGAACAUGACAAUUGGGCUCAUGAACAGGAUCCUGAGUGGUUGCAGGUGAACAAGCAGUUGGCACAAGGGCAAAGUGAUCACAUCCUGAUUGAGUGGCUAUGGACAGCCAUACAGACUGUGUGGAACAACGCUGGUGAAAUACCCAAACCGUCCCAGAACAAUGCCUGGCAUGCAAUAAAUAUUUGUUGAAUGAAUGAAAAAUGGUUAUCAAUAGGCAGGGCAACAUCCACGUGAAAGGUAAGCCAAAAAAGAGUAUUCACCACUACAUGACCAAGUAGGCAGUGCCCAAUUAUGGGGGAUCCAGGACAGGCUACAAGCAGACAGCACUAGAAAAGUCUGCCAGCAGUUAGCAAGGCUUCAGCACUGCUGACAUGUUAGGAAAAAAAAGAAAGACUGAGGUUAAGAAGGGUUCAGGCCCAGAGGCCAUGGCCAAACCCAAUUUUUAGAAGUAGGCCUUAUUCCUGAGGCUAGCAGCAAGGCUGUCUUGAUGCUGAUUUCCAAGUACGCAAAAGCCCCCUAAAUUCCUCCUGUCUAACCUGUCUUCUGAUUCUAACCUAAAGAUUUGAAAUGCCAUUUCCCAAAAAUCUAUCAGUCAUAGUUUUUCUUUAGAAUCAAAAGACGAACUAAAGGCUUUUUGAGAAAUUUCUCUGUAAUCCUUCCUUUGUGUCCAAGCAGAGCCCCCACACAGUAAAGCACAAAACUGGAUUCAAAGAUUUAGCUAGCAGCCAUGGUAACUAGGGUCCCUGUAGAGUGACCCAUGGGUAGUGAUGUUUCAGAGCCCUGGGGAGCAGACCAAGUAGGACCUGAUUAUUUUUUAGAGCGAAACUCUAAUUGGCCUAUAUUUCCUAAGUUUUGCAUUUGCUAAGUAAAUUUUUAGAGGGUGAGGGUAUGUAGAAUAUAAAUAUUAAAAACAAAGAAUAAAAGAGUUUUUACAGGCAAAGUAACUAGUCAGGUGUCACAUUUUCUUGCAAUUGACAAACACCACUUCUUGCUUGGAAGGCUGCAUCUUUAGUUCCUAACUCAAUGCCUGGUAGGAGACAAUAAAAUGUAUUGAAUGGGUGAAUAAAUGAAUGAAAUAGCUAGUCAAUUAAGUUCAUUUCACCAUGUUUUGUCUAUUCCAAUUUUUUGUGUCAGAAUUGAUGAUUUGAAUGUAACUCAAAGUCUUGAGAGGUGCCUCAUUGCUUAUUUGACUCAAGGGAUCAAUCAGUGAUAGGGUCCCCUGCUUAAGGAACAACAGAAUGCUGCUAAGAGGUCAGGUACAAAUAUGAUGUUCCAUUGACUUACAAAGUCAUUUUUCUCUACUAUAUUUUUUAAAGGCCUUGAGUAAAAAUCCUUGAAAGAGCUCUUUAAAAAGACUGUGUCAUGUACCAAUCAUAUGGCAGUUGAGGUACUUUCAGUGUAGAAAAUAGUGAAAAUAAACAAAGAUUUAAAAAUCUACUACAAAUUACAUAAUACUUUUCAUCUAUAACUUUUAAAUCAAAACACAAAAACAUUUGUAAAAAAGUAAUACACAUAUGUAAGAGACAUACUUAUGUUAUGAUUAAGAUCGUAGACUUUGAGAUUAAAUGACCUGGAUUUGAAGACCAGUUUAUCCAUUUCCUGGUCUCAUGAUCUUCAGCAAUUUGCUUAACCUCUCUGAGACUGAGUUGCCUCACCUGUAAAAUGGGGGUCAUAAUUACACCUACCUCAUAGCAUUUUUAUGAGGAUUAAAUGAGAUAAUGUGUGCAAAGGGCUUAGUACAGUACAGAGUAUAAGUACAGUAACUAUUAACAUUUAUUCAGCUUAUUAACAUACAUACUUUAUGUAAAUAUUAAUUCACUUGUUCUUGCAGUAAUUUGGUGACUUCUCAGGCAUCUGAAACACACAGAUUGAAAAACACUGCUGGAUUCAGUAGGAACUGGGACAAAGGGUAUCUUCAGAAAGAAUAAUGGAGACCUGUGUUGUUGCUGAAGGAGAUGGAGCUUGGGACUUGGAAGACUGGCAGAGCUGCUUCUCCUUAGGAGCUCUGGCUGCUACUGGAGCAGCCCCAGGAAGGCUCUGUCACUAGGAACAAGAGCUACCACUAACUGAGUUAGUCCCUGGGAGCUGGACACUGCUGCUGACAAGUACUGCCAAGAUGGUCCGUGGUGGUCUGCCUCUGGGACCCUGCUGACUACACACAACAAUUGAGGCUUACAAAAGAGGAACUAAGAAAAUCCAAAGAUUUGGAAGUGUCUGACCCUUUCUUCCCUUUAUGGCUUCUCACUUGCACAGAAGAAUUUCAGCCCAACUCUCCAUGCAACAUCCAAUAGGGGACAAAAUACUAUGCUCUAUCAUUACACCCUCAUUGAGGAGGGUCAAUAAUCAUUUCUCACCAAGAAAGUAGGAGGUCAGAAAGUGGAUGAGGAAUCAACCUAGUUUAGAGGAUUGAUCUAGAAUCUUGUCCUCAGGCUUCUAGGGAAUUAUCUGAGUCUUUUAUCUAAGACAAAUGCAACAGUUUUCUUUCCAAAUGCUCAGAAAAAUAGUGAUGAUGAUGAUGAUGAUGAUGUUCAUUUGUAUACAUUUACAUGCAACCACAGCAUUGUUUUUAUUAUAAUACCUUAGCAAUAACUAAUGAGAACAUGUUAGGUGAUGUUAAAUAAAAUAAUUUUUUCCCAAAGACUGAGAACAGAGUUUCUUGGUUCGAAUCCCAGGUCUACCACCAAGUAGCUUUUCUCGAGGCUCAAUUUUGUCAUCUAAAAAUGAAGUGGUAGAAGCAGAGGUUCUCGAGGUCACUUUCAGCUCUUCUAGC
rnacentral:lncRNA from 1 species